AUUGAACGCUGGCGGCAGGCCUAACACAUGCAAGUCGAGCGGUAGGGAGAAGCUUGCUUCUCUUGAGAGCGGCGGACGGGUGAGUAAUGCCUAGGAAUCUGCCUGGUAGUGGGGGAUAACGUUCGGAAACGGACGCUAAUACCGCAUACGUCCUACGGGAGAAAGCAGGGGACCUUCGGGCCUUGCGCUAUCAGAUGAGCCUAGGUCGGAUUAGCUAGUUGGUGGGGUAAUGGCUCACCAAGGCGACGAUCCGUAACUGGUCUGAGAGGAUGAUCAGUCACACUGGAACUGAGACACGGUCCAGACUCCUACGGGAGGCAGCAGUGGGGAAUAUUGGACAAUGGGCGAAAGCCUGAUCCAGCCAUGCCGCGUGUGUGAAGAAGGUCUUCGGAUUGUAAAGCACUUUAAGUUGGGAGGAAGGGCCGUUACCUAAUACGUGAUGGUUUUGACGUUACCGACAGAAUAAGCACCGGCUAACUCUGUGCCAGCAGCCGCGGUAAUACAGAGGGUGCAAGCGUUAAUCGGAAUUACUGGGCGUAAAGCGCGCGUAGGUGGUUUGUUAAGUUGGAUGUGAAAUCCCCGGGCUCAACCUGGGAACUGCAUUCAAAACUGACUGACUAGAGUAUGGUAGAGGGUGGUGGAAUUUCCUGUGUAGCGGUGAAAUGCGUAGAUAUAGGAAGGAACACCAGUGGCGAAGGCGACCACCUGGACUGAUACUGACACUGAGUGCGAAA
rnacentral:rRNA from 1 species